rnacentral:lncRNA from 1 species
GCCUGCACUCACCGGGGCCCAGGAAGCCCCCCUGCCCUGACAGGCUGAGAAGUGCCUGCUCCCACUGCUUGGUCUCUCCCCACUCCCAGCACCUGCUCCAGUUUCAGAUCAAAGCCACUGUGGGUCUCUCUGAGCUGUUCUGUCACUCAGUGAAGCACCUCUUCACAUUGCUCACCUUCCACUUGUCCACGCACCUCAUUCUUCCUGGACAUGGGAGAAGAACUCAGGACCUGCUGAAUGGCAGGUCUGAAAGAGCUGUAACACAAACAGGGCUGAAACACACCCAUUGCUUGCCACGUUGCAGGCAAGGAGGAGAGGAGGAGAGGAGAGAAGAGCUGCAGCCCUUCAGGGAGCCCAGACCUAGGAGCUCCCUGAGCCAGGGCAGUGACGCCCACUUUGGGGCCCUGCGGUUCCUGGUGUUUCCAAGCUUCUGG